rnacentral:rRNA from 1 species
AUUGAACGCUGGCGGCAUGCCUUACACAUGCAAGUCGAACGGCAGCACGGGUGCUUGCACCUGGUGGCGAGUGGCGAACGGGUGAGUAAUACAUCGGAACAUGUCCUGUAGUGGGGGAUAGCCCGGCGAAAGCCGGAUUAAUACCGCAUACGAUCUACGGGUGAAAGCGGGGGACCUUCGGGCCUCGCGCUAUAGGGUUGGCCGAUGGCUGAUUAGCUAGUUGGUGGGGUAAAGGCCUACCAAGGCGACGAUCAGUAGCUGGUCUGAGAGGACGACCAGCCACACUGGGACUGAGACACGGCCCAGACUCCUACGGGAGGCAGCAGUGGGGAAUUUUGGACAAAGGGCGAAAGCCUGAUCCAGCAAUGCCGCGUGUGUGAAGAAGGCCUUCGGGUUGUAAAGCACUUUUGUCCGGAAAGAAAUCCUUGGCCCUAAUACGGUCGGGGGAUGACGGUACCGGAAGAAUAAGCACCGGCUAACUACGUG